CCACGUGUGCCCGAUGACGUCACCCGGAGUCCCCCCUCGUCUCAGGUAGGCCUGGCCUGAAAUGUUUGGUGCCGAAUUUUCUGCAGAUUUCUUGGUCUGGCGGCAGUCGCAGCCAGUCUCAGCAGUCAUCCAGCGAUGAUGGGGUUCCACGAGGCCAGUCGGGCUGGGAGCUCAGCAGUAAUCCUCGCUACAGAAGGGGGGCGCUGCAGAUAACGUUCGGGAGCCUCUGCUGUAAGAUAACUGACCUGGAGGAAAAAUACAGCACGACCCAAAAAUACAGCCUCACGAACAUGGGGGAAAAAAAACCAUGUUGUCGGACAGAGAUGGAUUUGACCUGGAGCCUUUUAGAAGAAACACAGGAGCGUUGGGUUCACGGAGGAAAACGGUGAACGGCCAGUAAUAAAGGACCGGUGACAGUGAGCUGUGAGAUGGGAGCGACAGGAGACUCAUUAUCUGUCAGGGCAAAUAUGCGGACGACAUCCCCACUGACCCCUCUGAUGGCAGAUCCUGCUGAGACGGAGCAUUGACACAAAAACACACAAAGCGACGGCCAAUCACACGGAAGGAAAAGACGAGACUAGAGGCAGAGGAGGGAACUGUCACAAAGCUAAAAGUAGAAAGUGACUGGAGAUCGGAGCGUCUCACCGGGAGCUGAUGGAACAACUGAACAGCUGAUUAGUCAACACGAUAGCAAACUGUUCGAUAUUUGAUAAUACGAUAUUAUCCUACACCACACCCUGACCCUGAAGUGGACAUCAACUCUCUUUGACCAAAUGCUGACCUUUCACCGUGGAGAGGGGUAAUUAUAACAGUGACAGCCUGACAGUCAUAGGCUGUUAAUUCUAAGGACUUGACACGUGCAGCGUGAGAGAGAAAAGUCGAUACAAAAUCAAUACAGGAGACACAGUGACUGUGGUUACAACAAAGUCAUCUUAGAGUCGGGGCUGUCAAUAAUUUCAUUCAGAAACAGUUUUUCCUAAUUGACAUUUGUAAUAUAAGACCAUGAUCUAGCCCCGUGUUGGGUCAUUCUUUUGGCCUUACAGUAGUGUAGUAGGCGGUUUGAUUCCCACUGGUUAUGCAUGAUUAUUUUGUAUAGAUAGACAGAUAGUAUAAUUAAAGACAAUCAUUUGUAACACAUUUAUCUACUGCACAGUUACUGUCGUGUAGAGUGCAGCAUAUAAAGGACGCCCAGAGGAGAGCUGCCUUUACUCCCGAAAAGUGAAUGUAACUCCAAUGUCAGAGGGCGUCCAUUAGGAAUAUAUACGAGCCUGAAUUAACUAGGCCUAAUGUGAGAGAAUGUCUGGGUUGUCGACCGUUUUUCUCGCAGGAUAAACAAUGCAAUGCACUGCUAGUCUCUUGGAGACCAUGUUCAGGUCAAAUGGAAUCCUGUGUUUAUUGCCUUAAUUUAUUCUGCUGGUUGCUUUGACUUUGUUUGCUCUUUUCCAGCAGUGGCCAAAUACACUUGUUCGCUAAAGUCACAUUACAUCUGAUCCGCUCCACUGAGGCAUCUGGAGGUCAAGCGCCUUAUUUAGAUGGCUGAUAAGGGAUGGGAACGGCCAACACAAACAUAAUGACAUGGGCGAUGGCAUCACAUGAAUUAGGGCAGCUGUGAUGGUGGUGGUUUAAAAAGCAGUGAGGGUGAGUUAAAUCUUUUCUUUUACUUUUUCAGUCUUCAUCUGUGGAUGGGUAGGAACUCUGUAAGACCCUUGUAGUCAGGGUAACUGUAAAUAUAAGGUUCUGUAUAACAUUCUCUUCCAAAUACAAUAUUUAAGUCAAAUCUCCAAGAGCUGAAAAGAUGUACUUAAAAUUCUGUUGUUUCAAAUAUUUUUGAACUCUCUGAAAGGUCAGCAAAAUUAAAAUUCAUCAGAGCAUUUAGCUCAGUGCUAGUGGAAAUGCAAAAAAAAAUAAUCUGCAGUUUUGCCAAUUUAGGUUAUAAAAUUAAAAAAGCGAAAGGAAAUCAACAAAAUGAUCUAAAAAUUGUAAAAGAAUUCACAAACAUUUGAUGCAACCCCUUCAAAAAACAAAAAAGAAAAAGAAAAAAAAUAUGACAUCCUCUAUCACGGUUGCACACCAAAAAAUCUUAAAUAAUAAAUAGUUCAUCAUGAAGUCGAUGUGAAAAAGACCUUCAGGCAGAAUAGGACAGGAGAACAAAAUGUCUCGCUUCUUUUUUAUAUUAAGAAAAAAAAAACCCAAAAGAUGGACUUAAUCAAAAUAAGUAUUCAUCAGAAGCGCGGCUACAGCUGGCUCACCUUUUCACACUUCUGUCUCUUCACAUUUCCUGAAAGUUUAUCUCUGUUUAAAUAAUAAAGUGUGCACGGCGCCAUGGGAGCAGAGGCAGAAGAAAUUUUAAUUUGAUGGUAAAAAUGUGUUAUUUCAGCUGUGACAAUAGUUCUCUGUCUGCCUGGGAUACACAGCAUACUUUAUACUUCUAGAACAUUCAGCUGUUCACACAAUGGUUUUUACUCUGAAAUAACGACAUGCUAAAAGUUGAGAGGAGGUUUUGACAAAGUGUUACGUAGGUUUUUUUUUUUUUCCCCAUGUAUGCGUCUAAAUGUCAGACAGGUUUAUAUUUUUAUAUGUCUCAGGUAUGUUGAAUAUUUACUGACACAUAUGCAUAUUUACAUCACUUCGUGUUACAUUUAUAACACACUUGGCUGUUAAUUAUAUAUUUUUUGUCAUUUUUGUAAUGUAGCAGUUGGUGAAAAAAAAUCUCUUUCUCUCUCUCUCUCUCUCUCUUUCUCUCAUUCUC